UGGGGAAUAUUGGACAAUGGGGGCAACCCUGAUCCAGCAAUGCCGCGUGUGUGAAGAAGGUCUUCGGAUUGUAAAGCACUUUCGACGGGGACGAUGAUGACGGUACCCGUAGAAGAAGCCCCGGCUAACUUCGUGCCAGCAGCCGCGGUAAUACGAAGGGGGCUAGCGUUGCUCGGAAUGACUGGGCGUAAAGGGCGUGUAGGCGGUUUACACAGUCAGAUGUGAAAUCCUCGGGCUUAACCUGGGAGCUGCAUUUGAUACGUGUAGACUAGAGUGUGAGAGAGGGUUGUGGAAUUCCCAGUGUAGAGGUGAAAUUCGUAGAUAUUGGGAAGAACACCGGUGGCGAAGGCGGCAACCUGGCUCAUGACUGACGCUGAGGCGCGAAAGCGUGGGGAGCAAACAGGUUAGAUACCCUGGUAGUCCACGCUGUAAACGAUGUGUGCUAGAUGUUGGGUAACUUUGUUAUUCAGUGUCGCAGUUAACGCGUUAAGCACACCGCCUGGGGAGUACGGGCCGCAAGGUU
rnacentral:rRNA from 1 species